ensembl:lncRNA
GCAGUGAGAGGCCUCCAGUUUUAGCUACAGAGUACUUCCUUUCUUUCUCUACGCUCUUUUGAUGUUUUUGUAGGUGAGAAGCAGAUUUCAGCAGUUGCUCCUGAUGACAGGCAGAUGUUAUCUCCAAGUGAGACCUUGUCCGUGUUCCUGCUCUGGCUACCGCAGCCUCCUUCUGCUUGAGGACUCACGUCAGCCGAUUGUAUCUCCCAGUCCUUAUACGCACGUAUUUCCUGUGAAAUAUAGCCAGCACUGAAACUAGAGGUGUGCAGAUGCUGGCAGUGAGGUGACGGACACACAGGCAGGAUGAAGGCAGAGCUGUUGGUUCUGGUGGUGAGUUUGCUGUGCUGGACUGAAGCUGAAGAUGAUUGCGACCAAGCUGGAGUGAAUACCUCUGGAGACAUGGUGAUCUCACCUGGAGAAGCCUUCAGGCUGAACUGUACUUUCAUAUGUUUAAAAAACAGCCACGUUGCACAGCUGUGGAAGAACAACGAGUCUCUUGUCAACAUUUCCUCUGCAUUACCCAAUGUGACCCUGGUCCUGAAUGUCCAGUCUUUUACAAAGGCACACACUGGACAAUACCAAUGCAAGACCUACCCACCCCAUACCAUUAGUCCUGCUUUUAGUAUUCAAAUAGCAAAUAACUUCACAGGAAAACCACCUUCCUUGACCAUCAGCAGCCCAAAGUGUAACUGCACCCAGCAGACCCACAAUGCAGCAGGUCUGAAGGGUCAGCUGUGGUUCUGGGUGCUUCUGGGAAAAACUACCAUCCUGCUCCUGAGCCUGGCCUCGCUGGCUGUAAAACACAAGACAGAAUGAGAUCAGACGGACACCCAUAUCUCCUCUCAGCAUUGCUUUGUUUGUAUUAUUCAGUUUUAAGAUGUAGCCUCUUUUAUUCUGUCUUCUUUUAAAUUUAAGCUCUGCAUUAUUUAGUCCGCAAUUAACACGCAUGCACACACACAUUUGACUAAAUACCCACUGCAAGGAACAAUCAGUUUAUACUGGGGCUCACUCAUUUGCAGUAAAUUUGUUUAUUUGUGGUGUCUGAUUUGCUGAAGCUUUGCUCUUUAAAUUAACACCAGGAUCCAUGAUUUUGCUAAUUAUUUUCAUCAUGAUUUGCUUAAAAUAAUGAAAACAUGACAAAGGUGUUUUUAAAACAACUCGAGACAUUAAAACAGUAAAUAAUUCCCUUAUUAACUCUCCAAUAGUUUGCUCUGAGGCUGCAUAACCAACACCAGAUUAUGUCGACUCCUUGAGUGGAUGGACGGGAACAUGAUAGUAUUCCUCAGUAUUAUUGUCUGCACAUAGAGAGGGCUAGAUGAACAUGGGGCACUGGUUUAGGUCACUGUUGUGAUCUACAUCCUGAAAGGUUAAUGAUGCAGAGGCCCUGAGCUGCUCGCUGCUCCUCUUUGUCCCAGCUUUCUUCUGUUCUCUUCACUGUCAUGCUGCUAAAUAAAUGCAACAAAU